rnacentral:rRNA from 1 species
CAGUCGCCGCGGGAAUACGUAGGGUGCAAGCGUUAAUCGGAAUUACUGGGCGUAAAGCGUGCGCAGGCGGUUAUAUAAGUCAGAUGUGAAAUCCCCGGGCUCAACCUGGGAACUGCAUUUGAGACUGUAUGGCUAGAGUGUGUCAGAGGGGGGUAGAAUUCCACGUGUAGCAGUGAAAUGCGUAGAUAUGUGGAGGAAUACCGAUGGCGAAGGCAGCCCCCUGGGAUAACACUGACGCUCAUGCACGAAAGCGUGGGGAGCAAACAGGAUUAGAUACCCCCGUAGUCCCUGUCUCUUAUAC